rnacentral:rRNA from 1 species
UACGGAGGGUGCAAGCGUUAAUCGGAAUUACUGGGCGUAAAGCGUGCGUAGGCGGUUCGUUAAGUCUGUUGUGAAAGCCCCGGGCUCAACCUGGGAAUGGCAAUGGAUACUGGCGAGCUAGAGUGUGUCAGAGGAUGGUGGAAUUCCUGGUGUAGCGGUGAAAUGCGUAGAGAUCAGGAAGAACAUCGGUGGCGAAGGCGCUCUGCGUGGACCAUAACUGACACUCGAGGGACGAAAGCUAGGGGAGCGAAUGGG